rnacentral:rRNA from 1 species
UACGAAGGGGGGCUAGCGUUGCUCGGAAUCACUGGGCGUAAAGCGCACGUAGGCGGCUUUCUAAGUCAGGGGUGAAAUCCUGGAGCUCAACUCCAGAACUGCCUUUGAUACUGGAGAGCUCGAGUCCGGAAGAGGUGAGUGGAACUGCGAGUGUAGAGGUGAAAUUCGUAGAUAUUAGGAAGAACACCAGUGGCGAAGGCGGCUCACUGGUCCGGUACUGACGCUGAGGUGCGAAAGCGUGGGGAGCAAACAGG